GUGUCAAGCAGCUCAUCUGCGUGGCACAGGAGCCGUCUCACCCUGUGCUUCCCUCCACGUGCAGAGGCGAGCUCAGCUGCUUCCUCUCCAUCCUUCAGGUUGAGUUCAGAUGCCGCCUCUUCCAGGAAGGCCGUCCUUCCCAGACCUGCAGACGCCCUGGCGUCCAUCACAAGCCUUACAGUCCACGUGCAGUUGGAGCUGCUCCACAGCCUUGCCAGGUAGCAACAUUACAGAAGCUUAAGGUCGAUCAAGGCCAGUACAAAGAAACGAAAGCCAGCUGACCCUGCGGGAGCCCUGCCUCUACUUUCAUUUGGGAACUGCUGUGGAUCGCGCUUCUGGGAUCGGAUGAGCGGCCACGCUGCACUGAAGGCCAGACCCUUCCCUGAGCACCAGGCCCACCCCGCUGCUGCCCUGGGCUGGGAGCAGCACUUCCACCCUCCCUGGCCGGCAUCGGCCCGAUCUCCCUCUUUCCUGGUCUUUCCAACUCACACAGGAAUGUGCUGUUAUUUCUCUCGUCUCAGGAAAAAAGCCCCAAAUUCCUCUUGGCCCCAGUUCCCUGCACCUCCCGUCGGCAAACUUCUUAACGUGCUGUCUCUGUCUGACGUUUAUCUCCGUCUGACGUCAGAAACCCCCUCGUGCUGUCCUGCAGACCUGGUCCGCCCCACUGCUCUGUCACGGUCUUCUCCACGUUGCUUGACCCAAGGCGUAAUCCCCGUCUUUUGAACUUGAAUCCCAUCAGCGUCUGCCCGCCAGAUCUCCCCUC